rnacentral:rRNA from 1 species
UACGUAGGCAGCGAGCGUUAAUCGGAAUUACUGGGCGUAAAGCGUGCGCAGGCGGUUUUGUAAGUCAGAUGUGAAAUCCCCGGGCUUAACCUGGGAACUGCGUUUGAAACUACAAGGCUAGAGUGUGGCAGAGGGGGGUGGAAUUCCACGUGUAGCAGUGAAAUGCGUAGAGAUGUGGAGGAACACCGAUGGCGAAGGCAGCCCCCUGGGUUAACACUGACGCUCAGGCACGAAAGCGUGGGGAGCAAACAGG